UUCCAUAAUCAAACUGUUUACAAAAAGAUCAUAGUUCUUGUUUAGUUUUAUACAUUUCAUAUUUUAAAGUUCUUUGUAAUUUUAGAUCGUGGCAAAUUUGUAAAUCUUCCUUUUGAAUUAUACUUAUCAAUUGUCCAUAUGUCAUUUUACUAUAAGGUAUUGGGUUUCCAAAUUAUUGUUUUAUAUUAUUUCGUACUUUCUCUCCUAGGAAAUAAGGAAGUCCUGCUAAAAAUUUCUCUUUCCAAAAAUCUUGAUUUGAAUCUUCUCUUAGCAUUAA
rnacentral:lncRNA from 1 species